UCUUUGCUUCUCUUAAUCAAUUAUGAAUUCUGGUUUUACUAGUUUAUGUUCAACUUGAAGAAAAUUUAAAGAUGUUAAGUAUUAUUUAACUUUUUUUUUUAAUUAAAAAAAUAUAGCUGUUCUGAGCGGAUACUUAGUUGAAAUUUAACUUUUAUGUUAAUUUUUUAUGUAAGGAAAGAAUGUCUUAAGAGUUUAGAACUAUCGAUAGUUUGCGGGUUACUAUAGAAGGAAACUCAGAAGAGAGUUUUUUUUAGUUGCUUUGCCAAUGCUGAUGCAAGCUGAAUUUUAGUUGAGGAUUUUACAUUUUUAUAUCUUUAAAUUGUAAUGAUAUUUCAUUACAUAUUUUUUUAGUCAGCAAUUAAACUUCCGAACUUCCUAUCUAUCUGUUGGACAUUGAAUUUAUUAGAAGGCGAGCUUUUGCUUUUCUGUAAUCUGCGUGCGUGUUGCAUUUGUGAAGCUGAAAUGGAGCUUGCUUACUGUACUGAAAAGUGCUGAAUAAGGGAAAUUUAUUGGAAAAAUACUUGAAAACUAGAAAAUGCAUUUUUAACCUAUAAUACGACCAAAAAUUUUGAAAAAUACAGUAAAAUAUGCAUUAAAAGUCUAUUCCAAUUGUUUAAUAACUCUGGAGAAAAAGGUAGCGAGAUAUUGAACUGUAAAAUCCACAUUAUAGAAGUAUCAUAUAGUAAGGUCAUGCUUGGUUAGUUCAUGCUUCAGUUAUUAUGUUAUAUCCGGACCACUGAGUUUCUAAUAGUGGAAAGAAAGAGAGACAUUAGUUGAUGGAGUGAAUGGGAAGUUAAACUAACUGGUGGCCUUCUAUCUUGUGAAAAUUAGACAUGACACAUGUUAGUUGUCCAAAGUUACCUGAUGCUCCACUCCACAUGUUAUGAUAUGUUCUUGUACACAUUCUUGCUGAAUAUAGUGUACUGAAAUGUUAAGUUUGUUUUCUGUUCACAUGGGAAUAUUGCAAGCCACUUGGUGUAAUGGUGAUUUUUGUUGCACCUCAACUAUGUUUUAAAUAUCUCAUGUAAAAAUAAGUGCUCUGUUUUAUAAUUCAAAUGAAAGUAAUUAGCUUAUAAGCAAUGUCCAUAUAGAGCUUUUUUGGUAGCCUUUUUAAUUGCUUAUAAGUUGUGGUCCUACUGAAUAUGUAGAUCAGGAGUAAUAAGUUGUGGGUCCUACAAAAUGUGGAUAAAAAAGUAUGUGUAACUAAGCUUUGCCAAAUAUGCUUAUAGAAUGCCAUGUUGGGUACAAUUUCUUGGUUUCAAAUAUUAUUCAUAUAAAGGAGUGGUACAUCAAAUGGAGAUGCCUUUUGCAUGUUGAUAUUGGGCAUACUAGAUUAGUGUGGCAAAAUAUAUGUUCCAACAACAGAUUUAGUGCAAUGUCAGCUGGCUGAAAAGCAAAAAUAAUUACUCUUAAAGAGGUUUUUGUGGAGUUGGACUGCACUUGAAGUAGGUAAUCAGAGUUGUACAGGUGUCAUCUCAGCUGGUAUGUGAAAACUUUUUACAUAAUGAAAUUAUUAAACAGAGACGAGUGGAAGCAUGAUGUUACAGCAUCUGCACUGAAGAUAAGAUUAACUGGAAAAAAAAAAAAAAAA